ACUUCACCUCCCAAGACAUUUUGGAUUUGUGCUGCCAAGAAGAUAAGGAGGAGGCAUUGAAAGUACUCAACGGACGCAAAUGGAAAGGACAAGUGCUCAAAGCCAAGCUCGCCAAGUCAGUUGAGGACCUGGACACCCGAGAGCCUCGCUCUGAAGAGAAGCCAAGAGGAAUCUGAUGAAAACACCCAAGAAGCUAAGAGGAGGAAGGAGGAGGACAGCUGACCAGUAGAAGAGAGGUUAAACAACACGGUGACUCCACUGUGGAACCAGCCGUAUGAGGACCAGCUAUCCACCAAACAGACCAACACCAGGGAGUUUCUGAGGAAUUUAUCCAAGAUGCUGCAAUGGAACAUUGGGGAGAUGUCUCCCUGGCUGAAGCAACAAAGAUAACACUGCUGGUUUCCGGCUUCGUGCUUACAAAGGUCUUGACCCACAAGAUAACCAUUCC